GCGUCUUUGGUAUACGGGUUGUGCCCUUGUCUGCCAGGCAAGAGAAGCCGGGUUCGAGUCCCGCAGGACGCUCCA
rnacentral:tRNA from 1 species